rnacentral:lncRNA from 1 species
GUGGAGGGAUUUUCUAGUAUGUGACUAUUUGUAUUUUUAAUGUCAAAAGGUUUUCAAAAUGAGUGGCUCAAUUGAACAUUUGAUUUUUAUUUUUUAGAACUUCCAAAAUGGGACUGAGAGAGGGGGUGCAGAUAGUAAGGAACAAAAUGUUCAACCUUUAGAUAGAGCUAGUAGCUUCCAUAAAAAACCCCGAUUUUGAAUUUUUCAUGGACUGCAUUUGAAGAAUUUGAAGUCAUUCAUUCAUGUUUUUUUUUUAAUUCUGAAAACUGUUUGGAUCCUUCCACUUUAGAGGAAUUGGAAUAAUAGACUAUUUGUCUUGGAAUUUGACGUUCAACAACUUUCCACACUUUAGAUAUAAGCUUGUCUUAAAUUCAUGGGAUGAGAAAUAUAAAUUCAUUCCAUAGAUCCUCGUGCUCUGUCUCUGCUCUAUAACUCAUAGCAUGCUCUUCGGCUUGCUCUUGUACAAGAAAACUGCAGCAAAU